rnacentral:rRNA from 1 species
ACUGGCAGCCAUAUCACCCUGGAGCCCAAGAUCAGUUGCCCUCUGAAGCUAAGCAGGGCUGAGCCUGGUCAGUACCUGGAUGGGAGACCUCCUGGGAAAACUAGGUUGCUGCUGGAA